GCCACCGUAGCUCAGGGGUAGAGCAGCUGAUUUGUAAUCAGCCGGUCGGGGGUUCAAUUCCCUCUGGUGGCU
rnacentral:tRNA from 1 species